UGGGUGGAGCCCUCGUGGCUCCUCCUGGGGCUCCCACCUGAUGGCAAUCAAGGCAGCAGUAUUCAAGACUGGCGCUCUUAACCACCUUUUGACAGAAUAUCAGCUAGCCCAUUCGUUUCACAGAAGCCAUUUUUCAAACCUCGCCAUAGCCUUGCUUACCUGGACGCUGGUCUUCUUCAUACUGCUGCUGCCAGUAAAAUCCUCUCAGUUUCUGCCACUAUCACCUGCCUCCCGCGCUACAGCUUGGAAUCCUGGACUCACCCAGACCUCAGUCGCUCACUUUCCCCUCCUGAUUUUCUCCUGUGAACAAUGCCCUUGACCCAUCUCUGCAUCCCCCGUCAUGUUCCAGCACCCAGCCAUCAUAGUGUCCCCUCACAGUUGAUGUUAUUUGCAAUCUUCCCUUAACUGAGUCUCUCAGUUAACAUUUAGAGU